GAUGUGUAGGAUAGGUGGGAGGCUUUGAAGUGUGGACGCCAGUCUGCAUGGAGCCGACCUUGAAAUACCACCCUUUAAUGUUUGAUGUUCUAACGUGGACCCGUAAUCCGGGUUGCGGACAGUGUCUGGUGGGUAGUUUGACUGGGGCGGUCUCCUCCUAAAGAGUAACGGAGGAGCACGAAGGUUGGCUAAUCCUGGUCGGACAUCAGGAGGUUAGUGCAAUGGCAUAAGCCAGCUUGACUGCGAGCGUGACGGCGCGAGCAGGUGCGAAAGCAGGUCAUAGUGAUCCGGUGGUUCUGAAUGGAAGGGCCAUCGCUCAACGGAUAAAAGGUACUCCGGGGAUAACAGGCUGAUACCGCCCAAGAGUUCAUAUCGACGGCGGUGUUUGGCACCUCGAUGUCGGCUCAUCACAUCCUGGGGCUGAAGUAGGUCCCAAGGGUAUGGCUGUUCGCCAUUUAAAGUGGUACGCGAGCUGGGUUUAGAACGUCGUGAGACAGUUCGGUCCCUA
rnacentral:rRNA from 1 species